rnacentral:rRNA from 1 species
CGGCGAACGGGUGAGUAACACGUGAACAAUCUGUCCUUACAUUCCGGAUAAUUGGCCGAAAGGCCUUGUAAUACGGGGGAGGGUCACUGUGGGGCAUCUUACGGUGAAGGAAGGCGCAAGCCGUGCAAGGAGGGGUUCGCGGACUAUCAGUUAGUUGGUGGGGUAACGGCCUACCAAGACUACGACGGGUAGCUGGUCUGAGAGGAUGGUCAGCCACAUUGGAACUGAGACACGGCCCAG